UACGUAGGUGGCAAGCGUUGUCCGGAUUUACUGGGCGUAAAGGAUGCGUAGGCGGACAUUUAAGUCAGAUGUGAAAUACCCGAGCUUAACUUGGGUGCUGCAUUUGAAACUGGGUGUCUAGAGUGCAGGAGAGGUAAAGUGGAAUUCCUAGUGUAGCGGUGAAAUGCGUAGAGAUUAGGAAGGAACACCAGUGGCGAAGGC
rnacentral:rRNA from 1 species